rnacentral:rRNA from 1 species
GGGUUAGCCCUAGCACAGGUGCUGCAUGGCCGUCGUCAGCUCGUGCCGUGAGGUGUUGGGUUAAGUCCCGCAACGAGCGCAACCCCGCGUUAGUGCCAGCGGUUCGGCCGGGCACUCUAACGGGGACUGCCCGCGAAAGCGGGAGGAAGGAGGGGACGACGUCUGGUCAGCAUGGCCCUUACGGCCUGGGCGACACACGUGCUACAAUGCCCACUACAAAGCGAUGCCACCCGGCAACGGGGAGCUAAUCGCAAAAAGGUGGGCCCAGUUCGGAUUGGGGUCUGCAACCCGACCCCAUGAAGCCGGAAUCGCUAGUAAUCGCGGAUCAGCCAUGCCGCGGUGAAUACGUUCCCGGGCCUU